rnacentral:sRNA from 1 species
GCCGCCCGCUGUCUGCCUCCGUCCAGCCCCCACCGUCGCGGGCCUCCCUCUCCGGCGCGCGCCGCCUCGGUCGACGAGGAGGCGCGCCGCACCAUCUCAGAUCCCAAUGUCUGGAUAGCCGGGAGUUUGAAAAGAGGCUGCGGAAGCUCCCCAGUGAUGUGUAGGUUCUCAAGGUUCCUGUGCAUUUACCGAGAUUUGAAAGCGAGUGUAAAAAAAAUUGCAUCCUUGUGUUCUACAAAAAGUGUGCAGAGAAGAAUUACAGUGAAGUCAAGGCUGACAAAGCUGUGAACCAGGUUGGAACAUUGGAUGAACUGAAGUUGUUGUUGCCCAUGGAGCUGCAAAUGUGUUGUCAGAUUAGUUGUACUUACUGGCCAAAUGAACCAAAAGUUCAAUAUGCCAGAUACAAGGGUUUCCUAUGAUAAAAUUUCAGUAGAGUGUACCACAGUGUGUUCGGCACUUACACAACAUAUAGUGAAUCCAUUCCUGUCAAGUCUGGCAGAGGGCCUGUCAAUUUAUUGUUUUCUAGAUGCCUGACAAAGAAUAAGGUUGGUUAUUUGUUAGAAUUGAAGGCUAGCACAUUCAAAUACUGAUCAGAGAUUCAGAGUAACCAGAAAAUUACAAUUCUUGUAGUUUUGUGAGGCUAUUGAUGCUGGCAGGAACAGGUCCAGUCAGUUGGUAAUUUCUGUCGAGACGCCUGUGCAUAUUGAGUUGUAUGGAUUAUAUACUGAAUGGUCACUCAGUUAGAAGAAAGCUGGUUAUAAGCCUGCUCAGAAAAAGUAUGCACUUACAGGACUUCAAGUUUAGUUAAAAGGGUCAAUGUGGGAGGAAUGCCGCCAGUGAAAUUGUUGUUAUCAAGCAACCUGAAUGACAAGAACAAUGGGUAAUCUUGAGCAUGACAUAACAGAUUAAAAGUAAUGAAACAGUUUGCAAAUAUUAUCUAAGGUUAUCUUUGCCUUACAGAUGUAUGAGCUUCAUAUUUGAUUUGAAUAGCUGGCUUGGUAUGGUGCCUGAUAGCUGGUUGACCCCAAAAUGACUGAAUAAAGAGCAGUCCGAACAUUUUCCUUAGAAUGGAAGCGAGUGAACUGAAAGCCUGGUAGAUAUUUUAAGAAAGGUACUCACAAAUGCAGAGCGUUUGUCAAAUUGUCCAAUCCAGUAUUGGUUCCAUCAGAUACUGGAAGUGAUCCAGUCAGACGAUUUUCACCCAAGUCAAGCCAGUACAUAUUUGAAAGGUUGCCAAUUGAUGGAGGCUUUCAAGGUUACUCAAGGAUCCAAUGUUCGGUGGAAGUGGACCGCUCAAGUUGUUGUAAGACAAGUCCCUGCAUAUGAUCAAAAUAGAUUCAUCAGCAUCAAACAAGGCAAAAGCUUGCCCAAACAGAUUCAGCACCAUUAAGCAAGAUCCAUGUUUUCAGGUCUUGUUUAUAGCACUGGAAAGCUUAGCACGAAUUUGACAAGAUAGUAGCACAUACAGGUACUGUAAUUCUGACAAUGACUGUAUGUCACCUGAAAGUGAUCCGGACAAUCCAAAACUUGACAGCCUUCUGCAAACCAUCCGAGAAAAAAGAGAGAGAGAAAAUCAUUAGUUGAAACAUAGAGGAAACAACAUGUUGAUUCCACAAAGUAUAAGAAAGGGCAAAGGGGAGAAAGAUCAUGUUGAUUUGGCUAAAAUGGUUCUUACAUUGAGGUGACACGAUUCUGGGUGCAGUACACUCCUGGCCAUUUUUCGCCGCAUGGAUCAUUACCAACCCAUUCUGAUAGCUUGGACUUGGCGUUAUCCCAGGAAGCUGCUAUGCCAUUUAGGGCAGAGGCUACAAAGCGAUGAGAGUGAAGAAACAUCAUCAUGAAACAAAAUCUAGUUUUUUACAGCAAAUUAACCAGAAACUGGAAUGAGACUGAAACACUUACUAUCUUGUGGAUCUGUAUCUGCUGAGAUUAUGAGAGCGUGGUCAAGAACAAUGAUCAGGAAGACUAACAGAUGGAUGAUCCUCCAAGAAGUUGGAGAAUGCCCCAUAGUGAUCUUGAUUUCAGGUUGCUGAGAAGCCCUUUCUUAUGCAAGGUUAGCAACUCUCCACUACUAAAAUUUUGUGCACUUGCAACUACGCGAUGUUAUGAAGGCUGAAUAGGCACAUCAGUUGUGUAUUAGUUAAUGGAAUCAGUCAAGAAUGUGACUGUCAUCUCCUCUCAAUGGAUGCCUUUUAAAAAAUCAUCCAAUUAAUGGUGAAGGCCCCAAAUUUUAUCAAGCGAGAGAGAGAGCAAUGCGAGUCAACUGUACGCUAUUGGCUGGCAGGGGAGCAUGAAGUUAUCUGCCAUGAAUUAGGAUCUGACUGAUUCAAAUUAUUAUUACCAUGUUUGAAGUAUCACUCCUUUUAAGAGAUUUAUAUGUAUUGCAUGCAUAUUAUAUUUGGUUGAAUGUUGUAGAUUUUAUUUGGUGUAUAUUUAUGGUAGGAUUGACUUUGGAAAAUUACCAAAGAUUGGGACC